UACGGAGGAUCCAAGCGUUAUCCGGAUUUAUUGGGUUUAAAGGGUGCGUAGGCGGAUUGAUAAGUUAGAGGUGAAAUGUCCGAGCUCAACUCGGGAACUGCCUCUAAUACUGUUGAUCUAGAGAGUAGAUGCGGUAGGCGGAAUGUAUGGUGUAGCGGUGAAAUGCUUAGAGAUCAUACAGAACACCGAUUGCGAAGGUAGCUUACCAAUCAAUAUCUGACGUUGAGGCACGAAAGCGUGGGGAGCAAACAGG
rnacentral:rRNA from 1 species